rnacentral:rRNA from 1 species
AACCUUUACACUGCACGACAGUGCGAUAAGGGAAUCCCAAGUGCGUAGGCAUAGAGCCUACGCUUUUGUCCACCGUAGGGAGGUGGACGAAUAAGGGCUGGGCAAGACCGGUGCCAGCCGCCGCGGUAAUACCGGCAGCCCGAGUGAUGGCCGAUCUUAUUGGGCCUAAAGCGUCCGUAGCUGGCCGCGCAAGUCUAUCGGAAAAUCCACCCGCUCAACGGGUGGGCGUCCGGUAGAAACUGCGUGGCUUGGGACCGGAAGGCGCGAUGGGUACGUCCGGGGUAGGAGUGAAAUCCCGUAAUCCUGGACGGACCGCCGAUGGCGAAAGCACGUCGCGAAGACGGAUCCGACAGUGAGGGACGAAAGCUAGGGUCUCGAACCGGAUUAGAUACCCGGGUAGUCCUAGCCGUAAACAAUGCCUGCUAGGUGUGGCUCCCACUACGAGUGGGUGCUGUGCCGUAGGGAAGCCGCUAAGCAGGCCGCCUGGGAAGUACGUCCGCAAGGAUGAAACUUAA